rnacentral:lncRNA from 1 species
AAAUCUUGAUUAUUGUUCUUUUGCCGUAAAAAGUUAAGAGCAUUCACUUAGGGUGUGGAAGAAAUAAGUUGGGGAGAACGAAAAAGAAUUGGUAAGUACCACAACUCUUGAAAAAGAAAAGAAAAACCGAGCAAGCAUAGAAAAAUAUAUGUAUAGAAAAUGUAGAAAAUAAACAUCUGUUUUGUAUAUUUGAUGUGAAAGAAAAGAACAAAAAUAGAAAGAAUGAAAAAAAAAAUGCUUGCUUGGAAGAAAAAUAGUGAAAAAUAAAAGUGGAGUUGUGGAAUAUGUGUUGUGAAGGUUACAAAUAAGAAACAAAGGAAACAAAGUCGAGUAGUGUGAAUAAUACUGUGAAUGUCUCUUUUGCAUCGGCACUUUCGUUU